rnacentral:rRNA from 1 species
AACGAACGCUGGCGGUAUGCCUAACACAUGCAAGUCGCACGAGAAAGUACUUCGGUAUGAGUAGAGUGGCGCACGGGUGAGUAACACGUAGGUGACCUUCCGAAUAGUGGGGGAUAACUCGGAGAAAUCCGGGCUAAUACCGCAUAUGUACGACAAAUCUGAGAGUAGUCGUAGAAAGAAUGCCUCUACUUGUAAGCAUUCGCUAAUCGAUGGGCCUGCGGAGCAUUAGCUAGUUGGUGGGGUAAUGGCCUACCAAGGCUACGAUGCUUAACGGAUCUGAGAGGAUGAUCCGUCACACUGGAACUGAGACACGGUCCAGACUCCUACGGGAGGCAGCAGUGGGGAAUAUUGCGCAAUGGACGCAAGUCUGACGCAGCAAUACCGCGUGAGUGAGGAAGGCCUCGGUUGUAAG